rnacentral:tRNA from 1 species
AGAAGCUUAGGAUACCAGUAGUCCAAGGGCCUUCAAAGCCCUAAGCGGGGGUGUAAAUCCUCCAGCUCCUG